UACGAAGGGUGCUAGCGUUGCUCGGAAUCACUGGGCGUAAAGGGUGCGUAGGCGGGUCUUUAAGUCGGGGGUGAAAUCCUGGAGCUCAACUCCAGAACUGCCUUUGAUACUGAAGAUCUUGAGUUCGGGAGAGGUGAGUGGAACUGCGAGUGUAGAGGUGAAAUUCGUAGAUAUUCGCAAGAACACCAGUGGCGAAGGCGGCUCACUGGCCCGAUACUGACGCUGAGACGCGAAAGCGUGGGGAGCGAACAGG
rnacentral:rRNA from 1 species